ACGCCGUCCCGAGCGGCGUUCGCGGCCUCGAACGGGCCAUGAGCGGGGGUGGUGCCGUGUCGGCGCAGCACCACCCCCUACCU
rnacentral:ncRNA from 1 species